AGUCAGGCUCAUGGGCCAGUCAGGAGACCUCAUUUACCCUUCCCAGUUCUUUGUAGUUCCACCAUCAGCAUCAGCAGAAGUUUCAGGGAACAUGUUUGGAGACAGAAAAACAAUCCUCAAUCGGGAGAUGAAAAAUUCUAUGACCAUGUAACUGAGCACAUCUCCCAUGAACAACAAGGAACACUUAAGAAGCCAUACCCAGCAACUUCCCUCAGUCUGAUAUCACCAAGUCCUUUGGAGCCAUCAGCUGUUGCACAAGGUAUAAGAGACCAGAGAGUAAUUAGUCCACUCCCUGAAGGAACAAUUAGGAAGAAGGAUCCAUGUUUCUCAGGCCUUGAAGGCAGCUCUUGUAAAAAGCACCAAUCAUAUGGAGGGGGAGAUACGCCACAGCUCUUGCCACAAGAGAAAGAAAGAAAGAAAGAAAGAAAGAAAGAAAGAAAGAAAGAAUACAUUCAUUUCAUCUAUGGUCACCCUACAGACAACCUUACUCAAGAAGAAGGCUCUCAGAUAGAGAUGCAGGUCCUCAAGCCUAGUGGCACCUCCUGAUAUCACUGACAUGGAUGGGCUUAACGUUAUUACAGUAUGGUUUCCUCAUAAAGACUUUUCUCUCCACCUAGGUUAUUUUAAAUAAAUUAGUAUUAUUACCAGUGUCA
rnacentral:lncRNA from 1 species